AUUGAACGCUGGCGGCAGGCCUAACACAUGCAAGUCGAGCGGAUGAAGGGAGCUUGCUCCUGGAUUCAGCGGCGGACGGGUGAGUAAUGCCUAGGAAUCUGCCUGGUAGUGGGGGAUAACGUCCGGAAACGGGCGCUAAUACCGCAUACGUCCUGAGGGAGAAAGUGGGGGAUCUUCGGACCUCACGCUAUCAGAUGAGCCUAGGUCGGAUUAGCUAGUUGGUGGGGUAAAGGCCUACCAAGGCGACGAUCCGUAACUGGUCUGAGAGGAUGAUCAGUCACACUGGAACUGAGACACGGUCCAGGCUCCUACGGGAGGCAGCAGUGGGGAAUAUUGGACAAUGGGCGAAAGCCUGCUCCAGCCAUGCCGCGUGUGUGAAGAAGGUCUUCGGAUUGUAAAGCACUUUAAGUUGGGAGGAAGGGCAGUAAGUUAAUACCUUGCUGUUUUGACGUUACCAACAGAAUAAGCACCGGCUAACUUCGUG
rnacentral:rRNA from 1 species